AACAUUUCUCAAGCUGCUAAAACUCUAGCUUGCCAGACUUCCUCUCCAGAAAUCCAGAUCCAGUGGCUCUGGGAUGCGGCACAGGACCCUGGGUACUUCACAAGCACCCCAGCUUCUGGGGAAUUGAAGCACAUCCGAGAAAAGAUUGUUCGUUCCUUCCUGGACAUCUUAUUGGUUUACCUCACUGAAGAGAUCCCUCCAGGUAAUGCUAGUGUGGUGUGCUGGUUACAACACGUAGGUGCUAUUUUUAUUAUUGCCAUUGUACAGAUGGGGAAACUGAGGUACUGAGAGGUUUAGUAACUUUGGGUCCAAAGUCUCUAGUAAGCAUCCAAACUAGGGUUCGAACUCAGGCAGUCUGUGCAGUGAACCACUGUGCUAACCCCCCGUCAGGAAACAUAAGGGAGCUUUGCCGCUAAUUUGAUGAGAAAUGCCAAUCGAGCAAAAUGUAAAAUAACAAGAACAUGUCAAGCUGCCAUUUGACAUAUUUGUUUACUUAAUCUUUGGGGUUUAGCUUUGAGACAGAAUUUCACAGGCUCCUCCAUGACUCGUCUCCGUCAGAAAUGUGCCCACGUCUUCUUACUCACACCAGUGUUUCUCUCUGUUUAGAUCCAGUUAAUCCUCCUCAUUAAUCUUCAGCUCCCAAAUAAAGGCCCCUCUGUCCUCACUAGACCCAGAAUAUUUUCCUGCCCUGUACCAGGCCAGCCCCCGCAGGAGCUCCGAAUCCUUUUGAGAACCACACUCGUGUUUUUCUCCCAAGGUACACAGAAACAAAUAUGUCUGUGACUGACGCGCAGCAGAGUCUAUCGAGUAGGCAGGGGGCUGAGACAGGAAAGGAUCUUUUGGACAAAAGGACCAUAAAUCAUAUCCUUCCUGUGACCUGGACCAAGUGGUCUUCCCAAGACCCAAGCACUGCCCCUCAGAGUUACCUAUUCAGGACAUUUCCCAUAAAUAGAAUUAUACAAGAUGUGGCCUUCUGUGACUGGCUCUUUCACCCAGCAUGAUGUUUUCAAGGUUCCUCCAUGUUAUGGUGUAUAUCAAUACUUCAUUCUUUUUCAUGGCUGCAUAAUACUCCAUUGUGUGGAUAUAGUGUGUUUUAUUCAUUCACUUGUCAUUCGAUGGAGAAAACCUGUUUGUUUAACAAUGGCUCUUAUUGUUUUCCUUUCCAGCUCCCAAUCAGAACAGGUGUCCCCAAAGAUACCCAGACAGAGAAUGUGCCCCCAGGCCACCUUGUGCUUCCUUCCCCCACUGGUAGAAUCUGAUUUUUUGACAACCCAGGCGAAUCCUCAAGGUUGACUCUUGGGCUAGACUCACAGGUCAAGGCCGACUACUGGGCCAGGCGCAGUGGCUCACACCUGUAAUCCCAGUGCUUUGGGAGGCCAAGGCAGGAGGAAUGCUUGAGACCUGGAGUUUGAGACCAGCCUGGGCAGUAUAUGGGUCACAUUUUCAAGUAGCAAUUUCUGGAACUCAGUGAUUGUCACUGUCAAGGGUAUGAAGAAGUAGGAAUGCUGCUGUGGUCUGAAUGUCCCCCUGAAUUUAUGUGUUGAAAUUUAACCACCCAUGCAAUAAUAUUAAGAGGUGGAGCCUUGCGGGUGAUUAGGUCAGAAUAGGAUCUGCCCUUGUGAAUGGGAUUAGUGCCCUAAUAAAAGGGCUCCAGGGAACUAGCCAGCCCCUUUUGCCCUUCUACCUUCUGCCAUAUGAGGAUAAAAAGAAAGCCUUGAGCAGACACUGAAUCUGCUGGUGCCUUGAUCUUGGACUUCUCAGCCUCCAGAAUUAUGAGAAAUACAUUUCUGUUCUUCAUAAAUUACUCGGUCACAGGUAUUUUGUUAUAGCAGCAGAAACGGAGUAAGACAAACAUCAAGUGUUGCCCUCCAUAGCUCGAGGGUCUUGGCCCCACCUCAGCCCCUGCCCAAGCACAGCCACCCUAGACAAAACACACACUCUAAGUAAAAUCCAGCUGUCAUUCGUCCUGCAAAUUCAACUCUGA
rnacentral:lncRNA from 10 species